CAUGUUUUAUUUAAAAUUCCUCCCAAAAAUUUACAAAAUAGCACUUAUCAGAUACAUAAAUUGUGUUGUGCAUAUUUUUAUAUUAAACAAUAAUUUUAAUGGAAAAUGAUAAGGUUUUAUUAUGGAUAAAUUUGAGAAAUACACACAUUUUUAUCCAAGCUAGAUAUUCUGCCAAAUUCCCCAGGUGGAGAUGUAAAGGAGAGUGUUGCUUAUGUGAGAAUCAGAAAGGGCUUUGCAAAAUUGUUGCUAAAUUUGCAGGAAUGAGAGUGUGAGAUAAAAAUAGAUAUGAGCUAUGCUUUUUACUGAAAUAUUCAGCAGUAAUUGAACAUUAAAAGACCAUGUUUAUGAUGCAAAUAUCAAUGUUCUAGAAUCUGGUUGCAUAUUCUGGUCCAUUGAUUCACAUGGUGGGGUGUGGGGCAGGGAUCUAUUUAUUCAAGGUUCAGUUUGUAUUGAUGUUGGGCAAGGACCUUAGCUAUUUUAUGGUAAAAACCAUAAACUCACAGAGAAGAAAUAGCUCCCACUCAUUGAGAUCUUAUCUCUCACUCACUGUUCUAAGUAAUUUUAAAAAUAUUUUUUCAAAUAAUCCUCCAAACAUUUUAAUAUCCUUUUCUCCCCAUUUUGGAGGGUCAUCAAACACUUUCCCAAUCCAUACAGCUGAUUAUCCACCUAAACCUGAUAAUCAAUGACUCCACUUUUCAUGUUGGUAACCAGUGGAAAUUUUGACCUACUGUACUGUCCACCCGAGUCCAUCAGUGGCCUGCACAUCGUCCAACCCAAGGCCAUUUCUCCCUCUCCCUUCCCUGUGGUCUCAGAAAAAUACAUGGUCACGAAGUGGUCCUCUCCUCCUGUGUUCGGACUUGACUGUGAGACUUGAUCCCCCCUGUUUCCUUCCAUCUCUCUGGCUACUUGGUCUCUGUCACCUGUACUGGAUCUUCCUAUCUUCCUAAACACUGAACAUUUUAAGUCCUUGGGACCAGACCUGUGACCACUCUGAGCAUUUCCAAGUCUCUUUACAGCAUCACAUGCAUAGUUCCAAACACGGUCUCCAUGGUUAUCACCCACCAUGUUUCCACCUGUGUUCUUACAUCUUCCCUGAACUCUUCCUACCUGCGGUUUUCUCAUAUCAGGAAGUGGCAGUUCCAAACCUUCGUUCAAGACCUUUGAGCCAUUCUUGAUUUCUCUGUUUCUCUAAAACUACUCCUCUGAUCUUGCAUCUGAUCUCUUUGGUCCUCACAUCAAAAUAUUUCCACAGUCUAGCUAUUCCUAUACCACCUCAUCCAAACCAUCUUUAUUUACUGGUUAUCACGAUAGCAUUUUUACCUUUCUUCUUAAUUUUUAAUUUUUCCACACACCCCAUCAUAUGACCUGAAUGUUUGUGUUUCUCCCAAAAUUCACAUGUAGAAAUAUUAAUCCCCAAGGUGAUGGUAUGAGAAGGUAGGACUUUGGGAAAUGAUUUUGUCAUGAGGAAUCAGUGCCCUUAUAAACUAUGACCCCAGAGAGACCCUCCCCCUUCACCCUGUGAAAACACAGUGGGGAGAUGCCAUCUGUGAGCCAAGAAGAAAGUCCUCACCAAACACCCAAUCCACAGGCAUCUGAACCUCAAAUCCCAGCCUCCGGAGCUAGGAGACGUUAUUUCUGUUGUUCAUAUGCCUCCCGGUCUGUGUCGUGACAUCUCAAAGGGACCAAAACACCCCCCCUACCCGUUUACCAUCUUCUUAAGAGCUACAGUGAUUCUCUGUAAAAGAUUAUAACUUGCCAGAUCAAGUUACUCUUCCGUGCAAAGCCCCUCAUAAUUUUCUUCUUCAGGUGUAAUACUUACUGUCCUGAUAAUGAUCAAGGGCAUCCUAACUAGCCUAGGCUAUGGAUAGUGCUCUGAAGUCAUCUUCAUUUCCCUGACUUACUCUGCCAAAGGCCCCUGGGAAUCCUCCAUGUUCCUAGAACGUGCACCACCCUUCCCACCAACACUGCCUGCUGCCUUGUUGUCCCCAGCCACACAGCACAGUCCUCCUUUCCUUCAGGUGUCUGAUCGGAAGCCACCUUGCCUGAGAACACUUGCCUGCACAUCCUACAUUAAAAAUGCAGUUCCCUCCUCUUUAGAACAUCCAUUAUCCAAUUCCAUUUCUCUCCUCAAUGCUAUUUAACACAAGAUGGCUUCUAUACUUAAUUGUUGUGUAUUAAUUUCUUAGUUCCUCACUCUGAAAGUUGUUUCUCACUCCCUUUCUUUUGCCCUCUCUCUCUGUCUCUGUCUCCCUGUGUUUCUCUCGGUCUCUCUCUCUCUCUGUCUCUGUGUCUCUCUCAGUCUCCAUCUCUCUCUCUCUUUCUGUCUCUGUCUCUUUCUGCUUAUCUCUCUCUCUCUUUUUUCUGACUGUCUCUCUCUACCCCAUAAAGGAAGUCUUCUGGGAUAUAUUAUGGAUUCAAUAAAUAAUAACAUAAUAUAUUUUGGAAAAAAAUCUUUUAGACCUUUAGAUUUAAAUAUUUUAUUCAACACUUUUAUUUCCCAACCUUCUUUAACUUAUACCAUAUUUAAAACAAGCUAAGCCAUUGCUUGAAAUCAUGUCUUUAAAAAAGUUAGUAUAGAGCAAGCUUAUGCAAAAUAGGUUUAAUCUCUAUGAAUUUGGGGAAUUAUGUGCAUUGACAUUAAUCCUUUGAUUCAGUGAGCAAAAAAAACCCAGAAAUCUAAGGAUAAAUAUGGUUGAAUUUUGAGUGAGUAUAUAAUCUAGGCAAAUUUUAAUUCUCUAUUACUUCUAUUGAUUUCACUUAACAAUGUUAAAUAGUGUUCCCAUAUUCUUUUAAAACAGCCAUCUAUGUCAUUUCCUCCUUUCUCUGCUCUAGACAGCAAAUCCUGUGCUUACCUGAAAGGCACCUCAAAAGAGCAUUUCAUUCAUAUGCGCCACUCCUAAACCCUGAUUCCUCUCUUUUCCUGCACCUGGAUGUUUGCAGUGGAUAAUAGGAUCAAGCUGCUUUCAGGAUUAAACCCUGGAUCUACGGAGCCCAAAAUGUCAGCCUUCCCAUUUUGCUUUAAUGUGUAUGUAAAUUCGCAAUUAUACACCUACUGUAUGUUUAACGCUGUGUCUUUUUCCAUGUAUAGUUGCCAUGAAAUAUUGUCUAGAAAAGUGGUAAAGUAGCCUGGGGGGAAAUCUCUGGGAUGAAUGUCAAAAUCUAUUAUUAACUUCUAUUUCUACAUUUUGUUCAACAAAUAUUUAUUAAAUGGAUUCAAAGUGGAAGGAAUUUUCCUAGUCAUUGCAAAUAAGGGAACCAUCUGCUAUCAAGGAACUUUCAUAACAAAAGAAAACAUAGAUAAAUACCCAGAAUGCUUGUUAGAGUAGAAGUAGAAACAUUAACUUGGUGGGAGCAGAGGAUGUAGCCACUGACUGUGAUGCAUAUUCUUGAAACCUUUAAUGCUAGAGCCGAGGUUUGGAGAAUAAACAGAGUUUCUCUAUGUAAAUUUAGGAAAAGACUUCUUUAGCAGAAUUAAUGGUGUGAAGAUUUUUAGGAAGGAGAUAUUAUGCUGGGUUGAGGAUACUGCAAAAGAUGAGAGCUAGUUGCAGUUUGAUAUCAUGAGAGGUGAGGUGAGUAAUGAGAUUGAAGAGGUAUGCAGAGGUCUGACCAUGAAGGGCAUUUUAUGUGAUUCGCCUUUAUUCUGAAGACAGGGUGGAACAUUCCAGACAUUUUCAGGAGCUAAAUGGCAGGACUAUAUUUACUGCUACAAGAAUUUUUCUGGCAACAAUAGAUUGAAGAGGAAGAAUUUAUAGUAUUCCCUAUUAGGAGAAAAUUGCAGUAACACAGCUAAGAACAACAGAAAACCUGAGUUAAGCAAAUAGACAGAUUUGAGACUUACCGAGGAGGCAUGUAAGUUAGGUCUCAGUGGCAGAUUUAAACAUCAGAAGAGAGAGAGUGUGUGUCCUUAGGGAAAUGAUAUAGAUUGGUGGUCUCCGGGGGUGGAGGGAGAGAUAGAAAGAGACUGAAGAGUGAUAGUAAGCAGGGAAACAUGUUACUUGGGGAUGUUGAAAAUGCUUUGAGACUGGAUUAUGGUGAUAGUCGCCCUUCUCUGUAAAUAUUCUCUGUGAUUAUACAUUUUUAAACGGGGAUUUCAAAGUGUUUUAUCUUGAUAAAGCUAUUUCUUCAAGUCAAUACAAUUCUUACUUAGUCAUAUGGGUGAUUGCCAGUUCCAUUUCUGGAAAUGUUAGUUCAGGGAAGCAAGAGCAGGGGAAUGUAGGCAUCAGGUGAUUUCUGAAACAACGGUGGAAUGUCCAGGUGGAGAUGAGUAAGUAGGUAGUACCUGAAAUAACAUGAGGCGUGCCAUCUACAGGUGCAGACAUAGGGUUUGGACCCAUGGGGAGAAUUAUUUCUCUCUUGCAGAGAGCCUAGAGGAGAGAGGACAAUUAGGGGUGGAAGACUCCAGUGGGAAAAAGCAGGAGCUGGCAAGGGGGAAGCAGCCAAGGAAGUGAUUGGAACAAAAGGCAGAAGAGGAGUUGGUGGUGUCAUGAAAGCAGCAGAAGAAAAGGUAUAAGAAAGAGGGCAGGCAGAAAGAUGCCACAGCUGGUUCAAGGGAUACAGGAACUAAACAUCGGUCAUUGAAUUUGCAAAAAGGAAGCACUGGUUGUAUUUUUACAAGUACUUUUGAUAAAAUUGUGAACAUACUAUGGGGCUUGGAGGAAAUGGGAUGGUGCAUCUGUACACUGCCUCAGUCUAUGUAAUUCAUCCAAGGAGAGGGGAAGUGGUUGGUAAAGGGAUCAAUAAGUAAAGACAUCUGUUUUAAUGGAAGAGCUAUGGAUACAAAAGAGGAGAUGGAGACAUAGGGAUUAGGAAGAUAAUGAAAGGAUUCCAGUGGAUGGAGAGAAGGUAACUGAUGGUAAGGAGUUCAGGGAGAGAGUGGAAGGACAUGGGUGGAGAUAAGGAAAUCAAAAGAUGUAAGAAUGAGACCAAGGCUUGCAGUAGUUAUUGACUAAAAGGAGAGUAAGCUGCCUACAACAAUCAGCAAGAAAAAGAAGAAGGAUGUUUUUACCAAAACCACCAUCCACAAGACAAAAACAAGAUAAAUUAGUUCAUCAAAACUAAAAACUUGUGCUUCAAAGGGCACCAUCAAGUAAGUACAAGGACAACCUCCUACAGAACUGGAGGAAAUACUUGCAAAUUAUAUAUCUGAUAAGAGACUUGUGUUCAGAAUAUAGAAAUUACUUAUAUCUCUUAAUAUUAAGGGAAAUAAUCCAAUUGAAAAAUAGGGAAAGGACCUUAAACUUUUCCCCAAGGAAGAUGUACAAAUGGACAAUAAGCACAUGAAAAGAUGCUGACAUCUUUAGUCACCAGGGAAUGCAAAUGAAACCAGAGUGUAACCACUUCAUACCCAUGAGGAUGGCUGGAAUUAAAAGUGAGAUAAUAACAGGUUUGGGCAAGGAUGUGGAGACACUGGGACUCUCAUCACCUGCUGAUGGGAAUGUCACAUGGAAAAUAGUCUGGCCAUUCUUCAAAUGACUACAUAUGGCAUUACCACGGGACCCACGAGUGCCACUCCUAGGCAUAUGCCCAAGAUAAGUGAAAACAAAUAUCCAAAUGAAUACUUGCAUUACAAAUAUUUGAAGAAGCAUUAUCCAUAGUAGCACCAAAGUGAAGGCAAGCCAAUAGCUCAUCAGUGGGUGAAUAGAUAAACAAGUGUAUUAUAACUCCACAAAUAAAUAUUUAGCCACAAAUAAAUAAAUGUUUCAGCAUGGACAGAUAUUGAAAACAUUAUGCUGAGCAAAAUAAGCCAAUUACACAAUAAGACCAUAUAUUAGAUGAUUCUAUUCCUAUGAAAUGUCCAGAAUAGGGAAAUCUAUAAAAACAGAGAUUAGUAGUUACUUAGAGUCUGGAAGGUGGGGAUAGUGGGUGUUUAUGAUGAGAGGAUAUGGGGGUGAUAAUAGAGGGUAUGGGGUCUCUUUGGGAGUUGAAAAUAACUUAAAUUGACUGUGGUGAUGGUUGUACAGACUUGGGAAAAUACUAAAACUAUUGGCAUUUAGUUUGAAUGGAUCAGUUGUACGGUAUGUAAUUUAUAUGCCAUGAAGCUAGUGAACCAUUUCGCUUGGUGGUUCAGAGGGUUAAGGAUCUGCUGGCAUCACCACUGUUGUGUCACGGGUUUGAUCCCUGGCCUGGGAAUUUCUGUAUGCUGUGGGCACAG
rnacentral:lncRNA from 1 species